rnacentral:rRNA from 1 species
GUAGGUGGCAAGCGUUGUCCGGAAUUAUUGGGCGUAAAGCGCACGCAGGCGGUUCUUUAAGUCUGAUGUGAAAGCCCACGGCUCAACCGUGGAGGGUCAUUGGAAACUGGAGAACUUGAGUACAGAAGAGGAAAGCGGAAUUCCACGUGUAGCGGUGAAAUGCGUAGAGAUGUGGAGGAACACCAGUGGCGAAGGCGGCUUUCUGGUCUGUAACUGACGCUGAGGCGCGAAAGCGUGGGGAGCAAACAGGGAUUAGAUACCCUGGUAGUCCACGCCGUAAACGAUGAGUGCUAAGUGUUAGGGGGUUUCCGCCCCCUUAGUGCUGCAGCUAACGCAUUAAGCACUCCGCCUGGGGAGUACGGCCGCAAGGCUG